GGGGGCGUGGCGAAAUUGGUAGACGCACUGGAUUUAGGUUCCAGCGCCGCAAGGUUUAAGAGUUCGAGUCUCUUCGCCCCCACCA
rnacentral:tRNA from 1 species